AAAAACGAGUCUGAUCGAGGGAGACUUCGACUACUAUUGCAAUAUCUUGAGGGUUUUCGUGAACGGACGUCAACUCGGCCCGCCGGGUCUCGGGUGGCGCGCUCAAUUUCCUUGGUUUCUGCGGUGCCUCCUUGCUUGUAGCAUAUCUGAACAGUUCCCAGGGGAACGAAGGAAAGCGUGGAGAGCAAGCCGGGAACGGCUUGAGGGCAUAGCCACAUGCAGGUUAUCAAACGGCGGAUCUUAUUGCCAACACGAAAAUACAAAUAGAUCUACCUUAAAAAUAAACAAUCAGGGACAUUGGCUACGGGUGAGUGACACGGCGCCGAUUAGUAACUGGAAAUAAACUCGCAAAUUACUUAGAUCGUUUUUGUUCCGAUCCUAUAACAGAAAUACAACAAUUAGCAGGAAGAGAUAGGGAGUAGUU